rnacentral:rRNA from 1 species
GACGAACGCUGGCGGCGUGCUUAACACAUGCAAGUCGAACGGGGCGAAGUGAUAGCUUGCUAUUAUGGAGCCUAGUGGCAAACGGGUGAGUAACGCGUAGGCAACCUGCCCUUNAGAUGGGGACAACACCUCGAAAGGGGUGCUAAUACCGAAUGACGUUUCCUAGUCGCAUGACCUGGAAACCAAAGGCCGGGCAACCGGUCACUGAAGGAUGGGCCUGCGUCUGAUUAGGUAGUUGGUGAUGUAACGGACCACCAAGGCGACGAUCAGUAGCCGGCUUGAGAGAGUGAACGGCCACAUUGGGACUGAGACACGGCCCAAACUCCUACGGAGGCAGCAGUGGGGAAUAUUGCACAAUGGGGGAAACCCUGAUGCAGCAACGCCGCGUGAGUGAAGAAGUAUUUCGGUAUGUAAAGCUCUAUCAGCAGGGAAGAAAAU